rnacentral:tRNA from 1 species
GGUUAGCUCAGUUGGUUAGAGUAUGGUGCUAAUAACACCGAGGUCAUGGGUUUAAUUUCCAUAUGGGCCA